UACAGAGGUGGCAAGCGUUGUUCGGAAUUACUGGGCGUAAAGGGCGCGUAGGCGGCCUUCUAAGUCGGACGUGAAAGCCCCAGGCUUAACCUGGGAACUGCGUCCGAUACUGGGAGGCUUGGAUUCGGGAGAGGGAUGUGGAAUUCCAGGUGUAGCGGUGAAAUGCGUAGAUAUCUGGAGGAACACCGGUGGCGAAGGCGGCGACCUGGGUAGAUACUGACGCUGAGGCGCGAAAGCGUGGGGAGCAAACAGG
rnacentral:rRNA from 1 species